AUCCACAAAGUAGGGACACUAUAUUUAUUUUAAUAUUUAUACAUUAUUUUGGAGCCUCCGGUGGCUCAGAGUGUUAAAGUGCUGAGCUGCUGAACUUGCAGACCGAAAGGUCCCAGGUUCAAAUUUGAGGAGCGGAGUGAGCGCCCACUGUUAGCCCCAGCUUCUGCCAACCUAGCAGUUUGAAAACAUGCAAAUGUGAGUAGAUCAAUAGGAACCUCUCUGGCAAAAAGGCGUUCCAUGUAGUCAUGUCAGCCACAUGACCUUGGAGGUGUCUACGGACAACGCCGGCUCUUCGGCUUAGAAAUUGAGAUGAGCACCAACCCCCAGAGUUGGACACGACUAGACUUAACAUCAGGGGAAACCUUUACCUUUUUACUACAUUAUUUUAGUAGUUAUACAUUAUUUUAAGUCCUUAUCAACCAAUUGUGAGUUGAUAAAUCGCCUCCUUCUCCUCCUGUUGCUGCUUGGGCUCCUUUUCUCUCUUUUCAGCUUCUCCUUCCUCCCUUCCUUAGGCUGUAAAUUGUAAUUUUUUAUGAUUUAUAAUAUUCUUUUAGAGUUAAUUGAAAAACUGCGAAACAUCGAAUCCGCAAAAAGUGAACCGCGAAGUAGUGAGGGAACACUGUAAUCCACUAUUAAAAUGCUGAAGUAAUCACAAACAUAUACUUGUUUCAACAACUUGUAAAAGAUACAACAAAAAUAGUAUACAAUGAAACGUAAGUUUGUUAUAUUCAUAAUACUGGUUACUGUUUCUUUCUUGUAGAAGGGAAUUUUUUACAAGUUCACAAUGGUAAUUUCUGGCUCAUCCGAAAGGACUAAAUGACAUCAACACAUAUGAUUGUUUUUAUGGGUAUAGCUUUUAAACAAUUACAACACUACCAUUACUUUCUGUAAACCUGUGUAGGUAGCUUUUUAAAUGAGAUUUUUGAGCAACAAUUAUAACACCACAACUUCAUCACCUGGCCUCUUUAAGUUCACUAUAUUAAAUAUUUGAGUCAGCCUUGCAGCUUUGUGCUCACCAUGGAAUCAAUCUGAGCAGACCAUCACUCAAAAGAACUUGGUGCUUUGCCAAGAGGUUUGGCUAUAAGAGAAGGAAGCAUCCCAUUUAGCUUCAGAUCUUCCUUUUCUGUGCUGGGCUCAAGCAAAACGGCUGACUACCCAAGACAGUCCAAUGGGCUUGAUGGCUCAAGUCCAUUAAAACCACUGGCUCGAACCAUUCCACAACACUUGGUUGGGUGCACCACCGAAGAGAUUGACAGGAAUAAAAAAAUACUAUCAAAUACCAAAGGGCACAUGUUACUGUCAUCCAACAAGUUUCUGUUCUGAAGAGUGAAGCGAUUCAGCUAGGAGAAGAAGCUCUCACUCUUCUGGAAUUAAAGGGUAACAGCUUCCAGGCAUGGUCCUUCAUUUGAAAAAAGAAACUAUAUCCUUUGAGAAAAUCGUGGGACAAAAAGAUGUCACAGAAAGAAGAAUGGCAUGAACCUAUAAAAGUAAUGAAAGAAGCAAAGAACUCACAUACUGAUGGAUGGAACAGGCUGGUACAAUCUAUUGACAUUAUGUCAAAGAGUGGCCCUGUGCAAGCAAUUUCCUUACAACAAGGAUGGACUAUUGGGCUAGAAGGAAGCACAGGAUGGGAAUCAAUGAGGUUUGGGCACUGUAUGAAUGGGAAUUUCUCCAUUGCUUCAAUGUCACAGACUUUGCAGGGGGGAAACCUGUACAAUUCCAUUUUGGAAUAUGUCUCAAAUAAAUUGUAAAAAAAAUAAAAAUAAC